AUGGGGAGAGGGACAGGCUCUGGCAAGGACUCCAGGGGGGCUUUUGCCCCCAAAAAAGCCCCCAGCAAAGCAGGGAGGGGAGAGGGAAGCUGGGAUCCCUGCACCCUGUGUGAUAUUUCCAGCAGCAAUGAGGAGAGCAGCCCCUGCACCGGACCCUGCCCCACGGAGCGCACCCGGAGUACCCCAAGGAGGGAGGACAGCCCCCGCUGCCCCCGCUGCCCCCGCUGCCCCCGCUGCCUGGGGACUGCGGGCACCGUGAGAUCAAAGCCUCGUCCUCCCGGCAGCUUUGCACUUCCCUACGUGCUCCUUUUUUUAAAUCUUCCCCCUCAACGAGCUGGACGAGCCCUCUCAGCCGCCAGGCGAUUCUCCAUCCCCCUGCCCCGCCAGGGGAGCGGGGACCCUCAGUGCUCGGCCCCCCCCCAACUCUGCCCUUUGCCGGCAUCCCCGGGAAGGGGCUGCAGGGAGGGCAGCAAGGCGGCCGUGCCCCACCUUUGCUUUCAGCUCGUUUAUUUCCGUGGAUUAGACGUAGCCAGUUUUAUAGCGUUUGCCUCCGGGGAGAAGGAUCCGGAGCCCGUGCUUGGUGUCCCCAUCGUGGGGAGCUCCUGGGGGCUGUGGGGGGGGCCGUGGUGUGCGCAGCGUGUCAGUAACACUUCCCCGUGUAACUGCCCGUCUCACCCAGGACUCUGGACGAGUUUGGUUUGGAUGGCACCCCCCGAGGUGCCGGAUUCCCCAGGAUUACCAAGGGGUGGCCAGGGGGGCAGCGGGGACGCAGUGGGGGCGGCACGGCCACGGCCUCGUGCUGGGGACGGGAAGGGGCAGCGCGGGUGGCUCGCGGGGCCGGCGCCUCGCCACCUCCCUCCCCGCGGGGUCGUGUUGUUUUGCCGUGCCGUGAAGUCUCCAUCGUGUGUGAGUGGUGUCCAGCGCCGUCCGUGUGGACUUUGGGAACUCCUUAAUAAAAGGAACUCAUCGUUACCCCGCGUCUCCGCCUCCGUGCCCACCUCGCGCUGCGGGGCCACCGCCCUGCGGUGCCAUCGGGUGGGUCCCAGCCCCACAAAGGGACUUGGUGGCACCGUCCUGGCAACCCUUUGAAACCCCACAGGGCCCCCGAGCCCAGGGGGAGAUGGUGCUGAGCUGCUGUGUUUUUUUGGGGAAGGAGGAACCCAGCCCUGUUGGGACCACGUCCUGGCACCGGUGCCGAGGAGGGCUCUUGGUGUGUUUCCACAUGGGGGCUUUGGGGGCCUCCACCGGCGCGCACGCACCCUGUGGGGUCUGCGCACACCUCCGGGACCUCCAACAGCCCCAGGUGGGCACGCACAGCCCCAGGGGUGGGGGACAUUCAUGUCCCCAACCAGCCCCUGCUGCCCACCAGCAUCGCCGCUGCGUCAAAGCCAAGGGAGAGCCCUGCUCCUGCUCAGCCUCCC
rnacentral:lncRNA from 1 species